rnacentral:lncRNA from 1 species
CUUUUCCCGGAUGUGUACAUUAGAGAGCUUUUCAAGGUUUCCAGCAAAAAUAAAUAGAUAAGCGACAGCAGGAUCGAAAUAUUGCCGAUAUAAGGGUGGGAGUGUAUGUAUAUAUAUAUAUAUAUAUAUAUAUAUAUAUAUAUAUAUAUAUAUAAGUCGCUAUCUAGAAAUAUCUAAAGAUAGGACAACAAUCCAACAUAAAGUAGUUGUCUGUUGACGACAGCUGAUUCUACAACGUGAAAUAAUAUCAAUAACGUCAAAUCGCGAUUAAAAUAUUCUGCGACAAAUAUUCCCUAAUAUUUCCACAUUUCUUCACAAGAACUAUAACAUUUCUCAUAUACAUACAUAUAUAUAUAUAUAUAUAUAUAUAUAUAUAUAUAUAUAUAUAAUAUAUAUGUAUGUAUAUAUAUAUAUGUGUGUGUUGUGUGUGUAUAUAUAUGUGUGUGUAUAUGUAUAUAUAUAGGAAUAUAUUUGGGGGAGUGUUCUAGAAGUGAAUUUUAAAUAAUUUCCAGUUUGUAAAAAUUAAGUAGAAUAAAUUAGAAUCUAGUGUUGUAUUUGUCGUCGAUAAAACAUUGUGAGACAAAUAACCAUUACAGUUGGUCUAUCAUUGUCUGCGGAACUACACUAGAGUCACUUCUGUGAUAGUGAUGGUGGUGGUGGGCGGAAUCAGAUAGUACGGGUGGUUGUACUGGUAAUACAGAUGGUCGUUAUUGUGGUGCUGGUGAUGAUAGCGGUGGUAGUGAUGGUGAGUUAGCUUCCUAAAUCUCUCUACAGGUCGUUGACGUACUUUUCUAACUGUUGCUACUCUUACUGCAGCUACUUUCACGUUACAACAACUGUUGGUAUCGGUGCUAAUGAUGAUGAUAGUUUUGUUGUUUUGCCUAAGGUCAGCUCGGAUCAAGAAGACCGAUAAUCAAAGCUACUCCAGAUGCGACCAAUUUGUUUGAACACAGUGUAUGACAGAAUGAUUAAACUAUCUAAUGUGUCCUUCCUUAUUUAAAAAGUAAGGAAGACAAGUAGGGAAAUUUUGGCUGCUAUUUUUACCAGAUCAAAUAACCAUGUUUGGCCUUUGCAGUGAUGGUGAUGAUGAUGGUUGCAGGUUCCAGUCAUCUGUGUGUGGUGUGAUCACCUGAUCUGACACCGGUAGGCGGAGCUUAAAGGAGGAGUUGUGGAACGCUGGUCGUUCGAUCUGAAGUUUUAACUAAUCUGACGUACAUAUCAUCACGUUAAGGUUAUGAGUGUGAGAAAGAGUAAAGAGAGUAGGGGACUGAGAAUGUAAGUGAGAGAAAGAUAUGUUUAUAAAGACAGAGGAAGAAAGUUGGCAGAAUUAGUACGACGUUGGAUACAAUCCUUGUAUUUAGUUAUAGAUCUUCGUGUUCUGAGUUUCAAUACAAACGAUGUCAAUUUCAUUUUACAUGCUUCGAGUUGGAGAUAAAAUAAAAAUAUAAGUAUUUAACUGGUGCCGAAAGAAGCUGAAGAACGAUAUAAGUAAACGAAGAAAAGGGGAAAGUGAGGGACGAGAAAAUCAAAGGACAGACGAAAGAAGGAAAACAAAGAAAACUAAGUGUGAAUGGCAGAAGGUGAAAGAAACAUUAUAGGUUGAUGUGAAUUGUGAUAUUGGUGAGUGUGGGAGAUAAGAAGGGUAAAAGCUGCUUUUAUUCCUUCGGAUCUGAAUUUAGAAAAUUUAAUUGCUUAAUAGUAGGGGAAGAACAGUACCCAUAACCAUUUUCAGGAUCUCUGAGACUGGUGAAGGAAAGGAUAAAUAUAUCAUCAAACUCGAGUUUAGAUGAAUGAAUUUAACAGGCCUUGGUAAAGGUACUUACUGGUCAAAUGGUAUUAAAUAGGAUAACUGUUCCGUACUAGUAAUACUACAUGUUUACACUAAUAUUCACUUCUUCACUAAACAAGAACUGUACCUCAGUGAAAAGAAAUUCACUUUUUUUAUUAUAAAUAUGUGAUUAUGUUUAUGUUAAAUGGUUCUGUAAAUGUAGGUUAUUGUUGAAUGACAAAUGGCAGGAUAUAAAGUAAUGUGGAAGCUCCUGUGGGGCUGGAUGGCAGAAUAAAACAGAAGUCAAAUCUCUCUCAAGUCAUCCAAUUAUUGUAAUAAAAACAACAAAACUUUUAUUUUUGCUAAAUCUGGAAGAAGGAGCAGAGCCCAUGAUUCUUGUAAGCCCUCCAAGACUAGUGAAAUUGGUAUCAUUAAUAUUUCAUUUAAGCUUUCCUCCAGGAAAGAUAUGAGUGGAGAGGGGGUUCAAGUUUUGGGGGAUAAAAGAUUGGGCAUAGUGGUUAGUGUAGGGGAAAGGGUUAUAUGCACUAUGGGUGCCAAAAAGUAGAGAUGAAUGGGAAUGGUGGAGGUAUGAGAUCCACCAGCUCUAAGGAGCAUGCCAUUAUAGUAGCAAUAGAAACAAAAACAGAAAAGACUACAUCUGUGAGCCAAAGACUUCAGUGUGUCUGCUAGCGAUGGAGUACCAGUUAACCUAAUGGCCUGAAUGAAGUCCAAGGUGUCAAUGUGUGUAGUAGCAUUACCAUUCUAGCUGUGAGAGCAGUAUCCAUUGCAGGUCCCACUUGAGCAUUGUGAAGUGUCAGCAGCUGUUAAGGGUCUGAAAUAUCUUCUGGUGCCAAAGAGAAGGGUCAAUCCUUGGGAUACAGUAUUAGCUAUACUAAGGAUGUAUUUUCACUUGGAAAAAUCUUCAGUGAUAAUGAGACAUAGCAUUUGGAACAACUGUUUAAGCUCUAACUGAGAGUUACUCGUGUUUACAGGGAGUGUGGUGAGGUAGUGUCUUCUUACUAUGAGUAGCGCUUGAAGUUUUUUUGCUGUUAAAAGAGAUAAGGUUUAUAUGGUCCCACUGAAGGAUGCUCUCAAGAUCUCUAUUUAUGUAAUCAAUGCAGGUUUGGCAUGAAAUGUUUAGGUCAUAUAUGAAUGAAGCAUGGCUUGGGAAGGAGUACAAUAGUAGGCAUCCAUUGGUCUUGAAAGACCAUGGAUCUUUACCUGGAAAAUUUUGUCAGCUGCUGAUGGUGGUGCUACAUCUGUUGUGCUGUAGAAGCUUACAUGGGAGUGGCAAUCAUGCAUACAGUGACUGCAUUUGAAGAAGCUCUCUACUGGUGCUACUAGUUUUUCCUUUUGCUGAGUGUGCUUUUUUUGGGUGGUGAGUUCCUCUUUCUCUUCCCCUCACUUCAUCCCCUUUUGCAGUAUUUGUUUCCAGCAUGGGUGAUCAUUUGCAACCUCCUCCCAUCUCAGGAUGUCCAGAUCUAUUGACUUCAUAUCUCUCUUAAAGACAUCCUUGAAACUAAGAUGAGGAGGUUCUCAUGCUCUUGUGCUGGUGGCCAAUUUCCCAUACAGGAGGUCUUUUGGGAUCCUCUCAUAUGUCAUGUAAUUUAAAUGACUGAGCCAGUGCUGCAAGAGCAGGGUGAAUAUACUGGGGAUCUUGGCACAGUUGAUGACUUUGGUGUUGGUGAUGCAGUCGGUCCACUUGAUAUCCAAGAUGUGUUUCAAAUUACAAAGGUGGAAGAUGUUGAGACACUGCUCCUGUCUUGAGUAGAGGUUCCAUGUCUCAUUGCUGUAGUGUACUGAGGACGCAUGCUUUUUAGACCGCAGUCUUGGUGUUUGCAGCCAGUUUUGUUUUUCCAGACUCUUUGUGAGCUUGGCAAUGUGGAGGAUGCUCAUCCAAUUCACCUGCUGAUGUCAGGGUCCAGGGAGAGGUAAUCAGAGAUGGUAGAGCUGAGGUAGGUGAAUUCAUAGACUACCUCCAGCUUGUAGUUGUUGAUGGGGAUGAUGGUGGGAGUGCUUGACACCUUGGCCCAGUACAUUGGUCUUCUUUAGGCUGAAUUCCUGACAGGCUCUGUGAGUUUGUCCACAAGGUGCUGCAUUUGCUCCUUAGAGUGCACUGUCAGUGCUGAGUUGUCUGUGAGCAGUACCUAAUGUACCGUGGAUUUUACUUUCAACCUCAACAAACAAAAUAGUUUACCAUCUGAUCUGGUGUGAAAGCAGACACCAUCAGUUGAUGUUCCAAAUGUGUUUUUCAGUAUGACUGCAAAGAAGAUGCCAAACAGGGCGGGGGCAAGGAUACAACCCUGUUUCAUGCUGCUACAUAUGUUGAAUGCCUCCAAAGAAGAGCCAUCAAAUUGAAUGAUGGCUUUCAUAUCCGUGUGAAAUGACUGGACAAUCCUAAAGAGUCUUGGAGGACAACCAAUCCUGGUGAGGAUUUUGAACAGGCUGGGGAUAUAAAGUAAUUAAUAUUAACAGGAGUACAAGGUAAUUAAUUUUAUUAUGAGGACAAGGUAAUUAAUAUUAUACUGUACAGAAGAAAAAGAUAGAGUUCAAGGUAAUGGACUAAAGUCCUUCGUGAAGUAGUGAAGAAAGGAAAAUGAAAGAAGAAAGUUCUGUUGAGUCAGUGAUUAUAAUGAAAGUUGCAUGGUUAAAUGUAUAAGAGACAUGGGUAUUGUGGAUUAGAGCUUUGCAGGUAAAAGGUUGCUUCUUGGGCAAGGGAGAAAAUUUGCAAGAGCAUGUGUGUGUUAAGAGAGAAGGUGUGUGUAGGGAAAUGUGUAUGCAUAUAUAGGGGAUUGUGUGUAUGUGUGAAUGUCCUGCUAUGUAAUGGUAAAUGGGUGAAAGGUGAGUAGUAUGUCUGCAUGUGUUCAGUUGAUUUAUCAGUAUAUAUGGGGUAGUCAGUAGGGAAAGAGUUAGUAUAGAGAAAAAAAUUAUCAUCAUCAUUUAAUGUCUGUUUUCCAUGCUGGCAUGAGUUGGCUGGAUGCUCUUCCUAAAGCUGUACUGUGGUACUGGGUAUUAUAUAUGUUGCACCAUCACAGGUGCUUUUUAAGUGACACCAGCACCAGUGCUUUUUCUGUGGCACCAGUAUCUACACCAAUGCUUUUUAUUUGACACCUUAGUUUUAGGAUCUCAACUCUUUUGUGAUUGGUGGAGUCUUCUCAAGUACAGCAAUCUUGGACCAUAUCUUGGUCCUGUCAUCUCCUUCAUAAGGUUCAGCAUUUUGAGAUCAGUCUUCAAAACUACAUCCCAUGUCUUCCUGUGUCUCCCUCUUCCACAAAUCCCUCCACUUUAAGUGAUCAGCACUUCUUUAUGCAACUGUCCUCAUCCAUUUGCAUCACACGAUCAAACUAAUGCAGUCUCCUCUCUUGCAUGCUACAUGUAAUUCCUCUUAUGCCCAACUUCUUCAUUGCACCAAUGUUCUGUCACACAUGCACACUGACAUUGCACAUCCAGCAGAGCAUACCAGCUUCAUUUCUCUUCAGCCUUUGCUUGUUCUCUGCAUUCAGGGCUCACAUCUCACAACCAUGUAGCAUCACAUUUUGUGCAGUUACAUCAUACAAUCUUCCCUUCACUUGGAAAGAGAGACCUUUGUUUGCUAAUGGAGGUAAAAGCUCUCUGAACUUUCUCCAUCCUAUUCUUAUUCUAGCAAUUGCACUUCUGUACAACCUCCUCCAUUGCUAAUGAGGUUACCUAGGUAGCAAAAAUUAUUUACAACUUCCAGAGAGCAGCCAGGACAUUUAAAGAAAUCAUUUUUCUGAGUGUUGGUGGUCUUUAUGUCUCCUGUACAUCUUCCAUAUACAAACACAACUUUCUCUGUUAAUCUUCCAUAGCAUGUACAGGUUACACCAAAUGGAAUUUCUGCUUACACCUUUCCUACAUAUUGAGCAAAGCCAUUUACCUGAUGGGUGAAGGGGCCUGUCUAAUUUCUUGCUUACUAGGACUUUGGUCUUUGCUAAGUUUACUUUAAGACCUUUGAUUCCAGGUUCUGUUUCCACACCUGGAAUUUCUUUUCUAAUUCUGUUACAGAUUCUGCUAUGAGGGUAGAAUCAACAAAUGCUAAGUAAAACAGUUUGUUCUUAGCUAAAUUCUUCUCUUGCAGUUGCCUAUGAAAAUAGCAUCAGUGGUGCUUCUUCCUGACACAAAACCAAACUACAUUUCAUCAUGUCUAAUUUUGUUCCUAAUUAAUUGGGCUAUAACUCUCUAUAACUUAUAGAGUUAUAGAGAGUUAAAGCGCAUAACUCUCCAUAAUUGGUCCAGCAAUUUGAUGCCUCUAUAAUCUAUGGUAUCUCCUUUGCCCUUGUUGCAACUGACUAUGAUGUAGCUGUACCAAUCACUAGGGAUUACACCUUCCUGAAUAACCUGAUUAACUAUACAGGUGACUAGGCUGUAACCAACUCUACUAGAUAUCUUGAGCAUCUUGGCAGUGACUCCUGAUGAACCAGGGGUCUUUUCUCUCUUCAUAUCUUUAAUUGCCUUAUCUACCAUGCUGCUGUCAACUAGAGUAACUGAUCCCUCUGUUGGGUCCACAUGAGGAAGACUCCCUUCCUCCCAUUCAUUCUCCACAUUUAAUAGUCUCUCAUACUAGCACUUCUACACCUCUUUCAUUUCAUUGUCAAUAAAAGAAAGUAUACUAUUAUCUGUCCACACACACUUCUCUCCCACAACAUCUUGAUUCUCUAUAACACAUUUCUUUCUGCUUCUGUCCUAGCUAGAUAUACUUGACACCUAGCUUUUCUUUUAGUUAUCUGAUAUGAUUCUUUGCUACCCCAACUCUUCCAGUCUUCCCAGGCCUGUCUCUUCUCUUUUAUAGCCCUAUCUACCUGCCUAUUCCACCACCAUGAUAUCUGUGGUCUGGAGGGAGCUUUGCUUCAACUACAGAUUUGGUUUCCACUCUCAGUAGAUUGUUCCAUAAGAACUUCCAGUUGUCCUCUAUGCCAUAUGUGUCCAUCUUUACCUCCUCAUCAAAGGCUUCAUUAAGGACAUCUCUAAAUUUUGCCCAUUUGAAGGAUCCUUGAGCUUCUAGAACCUCAUUUUCCACAUUGAUUUGUAUCUCAUGAUCCUUUGAGCCCUAAGUUUGAUGUCGCUAACCACUAACUUAUGUUGAGUUGUGUAUUUUUCACCAGGGAAAGACUUUACAUUCAUGAGCAUAAGCCUGUCCCUGUAGUCAAUCUGGCUUGUGUGUCCACCAGAUGGCUCACAGAUUUCCUGAAGUUGGUGUUGCAAACCAUUACAUCCUUUGCAUCACAGAACUCCAGCAGCCUUGUUCCACCCUCAUUUCUGGAGCCAAUGCCAUGGAAGCCAUCUGAGUAUUUCCAAAAUUACCAUUGAAGACCUCUGUUAUGAAGGAAACAUCUUUGUCUUUGAGGUAGCCUGCUGAAGAGAUUCAUAGAAAUGGCCCUUAUGAAUAUCUGCAAGUCUGACAUGUGGAGUAUAUGCAGAGAUAAAAGACAUUGUUACUUUAAACAAAACUAAUCUUAGCUUGAUAAUCCUAUCCCACACCCUAAUUACCUCAAUCACCUUAUCUACUCAUUUCUCUGCCAAAAGAAUACCUACAUCACCUAAACCAUCAUUGCUUCCUACUCAGAAGAACUUGUAUCUAUGUCUCUUGCUCAUGAGCAGUCUUGCUAAGGCUCUUCUCUAUCAUAUCUUUUGCAUGCAGCACACAUCUACAUGCUUCCACUCAAGCAUUUCAACAAUCUCAACAAACCUACCUUUCAUUGUGCUGACAUUGAUUAUAGCAUCUCUAAGCCUUGUGAACCUGGGAAGCCUGAGAAGUCGUAGGGAUGCUUUUCAGCACCUGGAAAGAAGAUUUUAGUGGUUUCUUGCCUGAUGGCAAUGGGUCAUUUGGCUUGGUAUAAGCAGGUACAGGUACAGAUUGCUACAUGAAUUACAAUUUCUUUCAAUUCUAUAAAGCCUUUGUGAGUACUCAACUAUCGGGUGGGGUGGUUGGUUCGCAGAUAAAUUAGAAGUUUUCAAUAUCAUCAUCAUCAUCAUCAUCAUCAUCAUCAUUAUCAAGGCAGCAAGCUGGCAGAAUCACUAGCACUCCAGGUGAAAUGCUUUGUGGCACUUUGUCUGUUUGCAUUUCUGAGUUCAAAUUCCACUGAGGUCAACUUUCAUCUUUUUGGGGUCAAUAAAUUAAAUACCAGUGAAAUACUGAGGUCAAUAUAACCAACUGGUCUCCUCCUCCAAAAUUUCAGGCCUUGUGCCUUUAGUAGAAAUUAUUAUUAUUAUUAUUAUUAUUAUUAUUAUUAUUAUUAUUAUUAUUAUUAUUCAGUAGUUUUAUUUUUAUUUUUAUAGCGUGCUUUCACUUCACUACCGAGCGCAGCUCUGUGUGCCUUGGGUAUGUGCUGUGAUUUGUUGUGAUGCUCUGAUGGUUAUUGUAUGGAAAGUGUUCUGCGUAGGAUGUGUGCAGUGCCUAGUAGUGCAAUUUUCUGUAUGUUAUAUGUGUUUGUAAGUCCUGGUGUUUUUGUUAUGUAUUUGUCUGAAUAUUUUUUUAUCAUGCCUAAUGCACCUACUAUGAUAGGAAUUGUUUCUGUUUUCAGAUUCCACAUUCUAGUUACCUCUAUUUCCAGGUCUUUGUAUUUUUAGAGUUUCUCCAUUUCUUUUAGAGACAUGUUGUCAUCAGCCGGUAUUGAUACAUCAAUUAGAAAGCAUUUUUUUUCUUCAUGGUCUCUGACAACUAUAUGUUGACCUUAAUUUCUCUAUCUGUGUGUAUCGGCAUAUCCCAGAGUAUGGUUGCUUUCUCGUUUUCUGUGACCUUUUCUGGUGUGUGCCUAUACCAUCUUUUUUCUGUUGUUAUUCCAUAAUGUUGGCAUAGCUUCCAGUGUAUGUAGGUUCCAACUAUUAUUAUUAUUAUUAUUAUUAUUAUUAUUAUUAUCAUUAUUAUUAUUAUUAUUAUUAUCAUUAGUAGUAGUGGUGGUAGUAGUAGUAGUAGUAGUAGUAGUAGUAGUAGUAGUAGUAGUAGUAGCAGUAGUAGUAUUACUAUGAUUAUUAAGGUAACAAUUAUUCUUUGGCAAUGCAGAAGUAGCCACACACACCAUAAUAAUAUAUACUUCUGAAUCCUCACCAGCGUUGCAUUGUAGACGUAUAUACAUAAACAAACACUCGUACACAUAAGUAUAUACCCAUAUAGUACGCAGUUGUAAAACCAGUUCACAGGUUGAAAAAAUUGUCAAGUACCCUAUUUCUAUAUCUAUAUACAUACACAUACACACAUACAUAUGUGCAUAAAUAUAUGUCCAUAGUACUACAGUGGAUAUACAUCAGCAAGGUAACAAAGAUAUAUGAACAUCAACAUGUGAGCAUGCGCUCAAACCUCCUUGGUUUGAGGUGGCAGUGAGGGGUGAGUGGGAGGGGAAAAUACCAGUUAUUAAUUCCAGUGGGUGAGCUGUGUGUAGAUAGAAGAAUAGCUGUUGUUCAUAGUGCAAGCAUGAAGCAGACGAUCGAUGAUAAUAAUGACACAAAGUGAUGCAGACAGAUAUGACCAGAAGAAUUAAAGUGAGAAGCCACAAAUUGAAGUGGUUCUCUGCUGCUAUGUUAAAAAUUUAAAAGAGCCUCUCUAAACAGUUUGCUAAUCACUGAAUAGUGUCUUCAAUCGACAGUAAGCUGCAAAGCUGACCCUUCAAUAAUGUAAGAAUUGUUCUUGGUGGUGCAGGUGAAAUAGUUAAGUCCAUAUAGGGUGGUAACAUUUUGGAUGAACAGUGGACAUGUGAGAAAGUAAAGAAUGUAAACUUGGUUUGGCAAAAUGUGAAAGAACUAUGAAUCAGGGGUUCAUGGAGAUUGCAGUUACAUGUGAAGAAAGGUAGAGGAUAAUCAGAGAAAAUGUAGAAAGUAAUCAAGGAAAUGGAAAGUAGUUGGUGGUAGAGUGGAUAUAAGACAUGAAGAUGAAUGCACAAUCAUCAUUGCAUCUAUACUAUUGACUGCAUCUCCAUCCUUAUGUCAUAAAGUUGGAGUCAUGACCACAGUGACAGUGAAUAUGAAGAAAUUGUAAAUAGGGGUUGGACCUCUUAAAUCUGGUACCAUAUGGUUCAGCACUCUAUGGUUUAGUAUAUUUUGAAUAUUCCUCCUGUAUUACAUUACAUUAAAAAUAAAAAUUCAUUCAGAAGCAGUAUUAGUUGUAUUAUUUCCCACUUUAAGCUUUGUUCAAGCUUUAAUAAGACAUUAAUAUAUAUAUAUGACAUAGGCAGUGAACUGGUAGAAGUUUUAGCAUGCCAGGCAAAUUGCUUAGUGAUAUUUCAUCCACUUUAUGUUCUGAGUUCAAAUUCCACCGAGGUCAACUUUGCCUUUCAUCCCCUUCAGGGUCGAUAAAAUAAGUAUCAGUUGAGCCCAAGGGUUGAUAUAACUGAUCUAUCCCCUCCCCCGAAAUUUCUGGCCUUGUGCCAAAAUUUGAAAUCAAUAUAUACAUGACAUGAAAGGGUAAGGCAAUGUUCAUAUAAGGGCUUCCCUUAGGGGUCAAUUUCUGUUUCCUUGUAUUUUCCAGUGGCCCAGCAAUGACCAAGACCUAGAAUGG